AUGGACAACAGUGGAUAGGACUCUUUGUUUAGAGUAUACAUGAUGUAUUUUUCAACAAAUUGGAAGACAUUUUUGUUUCUACUUUUAUGGAGAUUAAUUUCUGUUUUCAUUGUACAAACUGCUCAUGUGCCAGAUGAAUAUUGGCAAUCUUUGGAAGUCGCCCAUCAUCUUGCCUUUGGAUAUGGAUUUCUUACAUGGGAAUGGACUGCAAAAAUCCGUAGUUAUGUUUAUCCAUUUUUGAUAAGUUUUUUAUAUAGGCUAUUAGCUAUUUUUUCUUUAGACUCGGUUAUAAACCUAAUAAUAGUACCAAGACUAUUCCAAGCCACGAUCAGUGCUUAUGCAGAUUACAAAUUUUACAAAUGGACCAAAAACAAAUGGAUGUUAUAUAGUUUAUGUAUUAAUUGGUAUUGGUAUUAUUGUGCAACACGUACACUUAUUAACUCGUUAGAAACUUCUUUUACUAUUAUAGCUUUAUCCAUGUUUCCAUGGCGUAACAGUACUAUAAAAAGUGCUAAAUUUCUAUGGAUAGUUGGUUUUCUUUGUACAUUAAGACCAACUGCUGCUAUCGUAUGGAUACCCUUAUGUAUAUAUCAUUUUUGUACUAGUUUACAGAAAAAAGUAUCAUUAAUUUGUCAGUAUGGAAUAAUUGGCAUUAUAUGUCUGUUAAGUUCUGUGAUAUUAGAUAGUUAUUGUUAUAAAAGUUUUACAAUAUCUUCGUUAGAGUUUUUCCGUUUAAAUGUACUACACGGGAUAGGUGAUACAUAUGGAAGAAAACAUACAUUGUGGUAUAUAUUUUCUGCCUUACCAGUCCUUCUUGGACUUCAUUGCAUUACAUUUUUAGCAACGCUAUUGCAAAUAAUUAAACGUUCUAAACAAUUUCAUAGAGAGGCAGUUAUGCUAGCAGUAAUUGGAUGGACAAUUGGCAUUUAUUCAUUAUUGUCUCACAAAGAAUUUCGCUUUCUAUUACCACUCUUGCCAAUGUUUAUAUACAUAAGUACAAGUUGUACCAUUCAUGUUAAAAUUAUUUCUAGAGCAUUAUUGAGGAAGAUCUUUUUAUCUCUCUUAUUAAUAACCAAUGUAAUUCCAGGACUUUACUUUUCUCUGAUUCAUCAACGUGGAACAUUAGAUAUAAUGAAUAUCCUACAAACUGAUUUGGCUAAUGAAAAUUCUACGUCUGUAAAUAUAUUAUUUCUAACACCUUGUCAUGCAACACCUUUAUAUAGUCACUUGCACGUCAAUGUGACCACUAGAUUUUUAACUUGUGAGCCUAAUCUUAAAAAUUCUGAAGAUUAUAUAGAUGAGGCAGAUCAAUUCUUUGAAAAUCCAAUGAUUUGGAUUAGAAAUAAUUAUUUACAAAAUGAAAACUUAAUACCUAGUCAUGUAAUAGUGUUUGAUAAGAUUCCAUCAAAGAUAAAAGACUUUCUUGAAAAUUAUAGAUUAUUAAGCAAACUCUUUCACACACAUUUUCCACAAUCAAAUUAUGGAAAAUAUAUAAUGUUAUACAAACGUAUAGAUUAAAUCAGAUUUAUUAAAAAAAUAAAUUAAAAUUACUAUUAUCUGAUCUAUUAUAGUUAACCAUGUGUUUUUAAAAACAGUUGUUUACAUAACUAAACACAUAAAAUCUAUAAGGCGAUACUUUCAAAAUUAUAAAAUAUAAUCUCAUUUUAGAAAUGAUAUAAUACUUCAUUUCUAAGCAAUGUGGAAUAAAGUUUUCACUUCUUUCUAGUGUUGUAACUUACAAUUUAACUACAGAGUAAAUCCGAUAAUAGUAACGAAUAUAACUUUCAAAUAAUUAUCGUGAGAGAAUGUAAUAGAAGUUUCGUUUUAUUUUGAUCAUACCACGAUGUACAUUAUAUAUGUAUAUAUAUAUAUGCAAACUCAUCAUACUUAUAUAUAUACACAUACAUACACAUGUUAUUUAUUAUAACAAUAAUAAGUAGUUCAAAACAUUAUUACAUUAAUAGUUAAUAUAAGUAAGGCACUAUAAUAUAUAUAAAAAAAAAUUAAUUAUAUUUAUCUAUCGCGGUAAGAUAAGGAACGUACCAUGAAGGCUGAUAUCUAUGUGCUAAAUGUUAAAAUUGGAUGUAGCUUUUUUCUUUCUUUUUUUUUUUUUAUAUAAUUGUCGAUAUCAAUGGUAAAUGUUACAAAAAUAAUAAAAAGUGUUAGAUAUCGACGAUCGAUCAAUUAUAAUAAAAAGGAUGUAAUUAUUCGGAAUUCCUUCCUUUUUUUUUCUAUUUUUUUUUUGAAAAUUAUUAACAACAGGCAAAUCAUAAAUUUUACAGUCCUUGCUUUUCCAUGACCGAAAUGAUGCGCGUGCGAAUGCGGACGAGCAAAAUACGUGAGUACCGUUAGCUCAGAGAGAGGGAAAAAGAGAGAGAGAGAGAGAGAGAGAAAACUUCGAAUCUGAGAGACCUGUCGUAGGAACGAUAAUGUUUCUAACGGUAUUCGCGGUAGCACUGAAUAAGCCGAAACUUAUUUGAUUCGGAAUAGGGUCAAUUCA